UCCCCUCCCCGCCCCACCGCGUCCCAGGGAACCCCGGCAGGGCACCCAGUGAGGGGGGCCCGGGCGUCCGCCCAUUCCUCACUGCUGUCCCCGCCUGUGCCCGAAACCCCCGUUCACGUUCACCGAGAAAACAGACAUAAACCCAGCCAGGCACAUCCACUAGAAUGGCUGUGAUUUCAGAAAAGCGGACGUAAGUGCUGCCGAGGAGAUGGAGGCGUUGGACCCCCUCGCGCAUUGUCGGGGCGGGUGCAGCCGCGGUGCAAAAGGACCUUCCUCAGAAAGUUGAGCACGAAGUUCCCACAGGCCCGGAAGUUCCCCUCCCGGGCGCUCCCCAGAGAGCUGAAGACUGGGCGCGUGCCGGCGGCAAAUGUUCACAGCAAAGGGCGGCCCAGUGCGCAGCUGGAACAUCAGCCCCAGGCGGUCGCUGCGACAGGGACGAGCCUGGGAAACGUGAAAAUGUCCAGAACAGGGAAUCCACAGAUAAAGAAAAGACAUCGUGGUUGCCAGAGCUCGCGGGAGGGGGCAACAGGGACCGACUGCUUAACGUGUAUGGUUCCCCUUCAGGGUGAGGACGUGUUCUGGGACGAGGUCGAGGUCAGGGUUGCAGGACAAGAUGAAAGCGCUAAAUGCCACUGAAUUGUUUGCUUUAACGUCAUUAAUUUUGUUAUGUGAAUUUCAUCUCAAUAGAAUAAAUAGGUCAAGCUGGCUGCAGGGCCCACCCCACCGCGGCCUGGAGCAGGGUCUUCUGGGGUGUACCACCUCUGCCCUCACCCAGGCUCCACCACGACCAGCUUCGUCCACCCCCCAGGAGACCAUGAAGGCCCACGUCUGAAAUCCUCACUAAGCCCACCCUCCCAUCUCCCUGAACUACGGAUAACUACCUACAAGUUUUCUGAUUUAUUCAUUAGUGGAUUUGUUCGUGAUCAGCCCCACACCUGUUAGAAUGGAAGCUGCAGGCAGCAGGAACCAGUGUGGCCAAGUCGGAGGGCAGCACAAGCCGGUCCUCCUCGUGGACAGCAGAGGAUAAAACCGAGAAUAAGGAACUUUACAUUGUCAAUGAUCAAACACCUAGUGCACCCAUGGCCGUGCGUCCGCAGGACAAAGCAGCCUUUGGAGCCCUGGAACUUAAGAUGUCCAGAGAUCAGCAGCUCUCGGCUCAGGCCCAGGCAGCUGGACAGCACCCAGCGCCUCCUCCAGGUCCUCCUGGGUCCCCUCCUUUCUUUCACUUUCAGCCCGGGAAUCUCUGUGAAGUCCUAGCUGAUAACUAAGGGGUUAAUGAAUAAUCACAGUGAUGAGCUCUGGAGGAGCCAUGGCCCAGAGCAGCUGUGGCCUCCUUUGAUUAAACCACAGAAGUCCGGAGGAUCAGGCCUCAAACCUCCACCACCUGCCAGCUGGCACCUGUGAAGGAGGUGGGACCAGCACCCACCUCACAGUGGCUGCAGGGUCACCUGAGAUGGUGAUUGCAAAGUGCUGAGCCAUCGGGACACAUAUUUCCAAGACCUCCUGAGUGCCGGCUGGCCCCUGGAGCAGAGAUGAGACCCCUGUGGGGCCUACAGUCCAGUUAUGAAGGCAGGGUUCCUGUGUAAGCCAGCAGGCCCAGUUCUGGAAAGGCCAGGAUGUGGGUUCAGAAGCUCAAGGACAAUGGACUCAUUCUGACUGGAGGGAUCCAGGAAGGCUUCGUGGAGGAAGUGGCAUUUGACAUUGGCAUCAAGGAUGAACAGGAAUAGAGAGAGGGGACUGGUGUCUGCGUGAAGGAUCGCCAAAGCGCUGUUCUGGGGUGAGGGCGAUCAGCCCCUCCUGCCCCUCCUGAACUAUGAGGCUCGGGAGCCUUUGGCAGAAGGUGGCUCUGCACGCCCCAGGUGCAAGCUUGGAGCUUCCUUUUCUGCACUCCACAGCAGGAAGAAGGGCAGUGUGAACUGCUCACCACUGUCUUCCUGGGUUUGCAGCUCUGCGCCUGGCACAGAGACAGGCUCAGUGACGGUUGAAGGAAUCGGAGAAAUAAUGAAAAGUGUGUUCAUCCUGCAGGCAGCAGAGCCUCGGGUUAACCGUUAACGUCAGGAAAUGACAGAUCCAACGCUCCUGCUUGGGGCAGCGUGGAGGCCAGCGGAGGAACUGCAGGAGCCUAAAGGAGAUGGCGCGCGGGCCUGGCUCAGGAGAGCAGCCGUCUGAAAGAUGGCGGCGAAGGGUGCGGGAGGAGAUGCCCCGGGCAGGGGCUUGGCGGGGUCUGGCACCAAACUUCCCAAAGCAGCUGCCUCUGUGAACUGUGCCUGGCAGGGAGGGAGCCACACCGGGAGUGACCCUAGACGCUGGCUCCCCAGGGGUGACUGGAGGCAGUGUCUCCCGCCCAUGUGGGCCUCCGGCUUGGGGUCCCCAGAGCUCUGCCCUGCUGCUGGCUGCACUGAGAGAGGUGGCCUUCUGAAUGGGCCCUGUCCCCGGGGAGCCUCUGGUAAAGAGAUUCACCUGCACCCUCAAAACACGCCAUGCCCAUUGGAGGCUCUGGGUGCAGGCUGCCCCUCAAACAGAGAAAAACCACACGCUGUUUAAGACCCAAACCAAGGAGACAGCCCCUCAUGCCCCCUUCUAUCUCCCCUUCUGUCCAGGGCCCCCUGCCUGCUCUGGUCCACCCCGUCCUGACCCCCUCUGCCUGUUCAUCUGAGGGCCGUGAGCCAAGGCCUGGGCCUGGCCAAGGGUCAGGGAUCCUGGGACCUGCUUGAGACCAUGCCCCAUACACUCCUUCGGCCAGAAGGUCAGCCGUAGAGACAAACCCCCACCCUGAGCCCGCAGUGUCAGCAACGCCCUGUCCUCAGUGCCAGGCAGUGUCAGGCUGAGACCCGGGCCACCUGAUCCAACGUCCACUCCAAGCAAGCCAGAGCCAGGUGCUGCCAGCCUGCCCAUGUGCACACGUUAGCAGACAGGUUUCCUGGUGUGGCACACACGUGUUAUGACCGCGGCUGCUGCCCCCAGCCCAGAGUGCACUUCCGGGUAAUCCAGCACCCUGAGGCUUCACUGCUCUCCUGAGAGUUUUCUAAGAUUAAAUCUCCUUCACAAUGACAGCCUCCUGUCACCUGGGCCCUGGUGACAAAGCCUUUGGAGAGGCAAGGACCCAGCCGGGGCAUUCACAGUGGGCAUGCUAUCCACCCUCCGCCCCUGUCCUGGCCCCCACAGUGGAGCCGCCACCUUGGGUAACAGGGGCUGCCUGAGGUCCUGGAGAAGGAAGAACCAGGUGGCCCACCUUCGGUGCACAGGGAACAGCAGGGACCUGACGGCAGCCCCCGCACCCCUCCCUGGGCUGAAGUUCAGGCUGUCUCAUCCCUUGCCAGGAGCUCAGGGCUGAGCUAGGUUGGCAGGGGAUGGGUUGAGGGUCUGUUGUCCAGCAGAUUGCCCGGGCCCCACCCAGGCCACUCAGAAAACACCUGUGAGAGCCCCGCAGGCAUGCAGGGCACUGUCGUGAGCACACCAGUGGGGACAGACGUCCAGGCAGGAGGGAGCAGCCAGACCCCCAUCCCGCCAGGGUCACCAGGUGAGCAAGGCUGGGGAACAAUGGAGGCGGAGCCCCGCGACUGCCCAGCUCACUGCCCCCAGUGUCCAGGCUGUGGUGCAGGCGUGGGGACCCAGGUGUGUUCAGGGGUCUCCUUCAGGGAAGGAGACCAAGCUGGGAGUCUGGGGAGGCUGAGGUGUGAGGUGACAGCAGGUAAAGAGUGAGCCACAAUCAGCAUUUUCACAUGAAAGGAAACUACAGGCCUGGGCGCAGUGGCUCACGCCUGUAAUCCCGGCACUGUGGGAGGCUGAGGUGGGAGGAUCACCUGAGGUCGGGAGUUCGAGACCAGCCUGACCAACAUGGAGAAACCCCAUUUCUACUAAAAAAAAUACAAAAUUAGCUGGGCAUGGUGGCGCAUGCCUGUAAUCCUAGCUAUUCGGGAGGCUGAGACAGGAGAAUCACUUGAACCCGGGAGGCGGAGGUUAUGGAGAGCCAAGAUCGCACCACUGCACCCCAGCCUGGGCAACAAGAGUAAAACUCCGUCUCAAAAAAAAAAAAAAAAGAAGAAAGAAAAAGAAAAAAAGAAAGGCAACUACAGAAGGUGAGGAGAACCACCCGAGAUCACCAGAGGGAACCGUGGAAGGUCCGUGGUCCACCAGCCAGGCUGGGGCACCUCAGCCCCUGGGCAGAGCACCAAGCAGGGCCGUGCCCUGGUAAAGGAGGGCACAGUCAGCCCCAGACUACAAGCUGCCUUGGUCCUCCCAGCAGGGCUUAAAAGCAAGACCCCAAAGGACCAAACAGCUUCCAAGUAACUUCCUGGAGUCCUGAGCAAAGUAAGCUUUUCUCAGCUUUGCUACAAAAAUAGUCAGCACCCAGCAAAAUUCACAAUCCCUGUCACCCAUUCAAAAAUCACCAGGCAUGCGAGGAAGCAGGAAAAGGAAAAUGCACCCAGAAGAGAAGGAGCACCCAUCAACGGGGCCGCCUCAGAAGCAACAGACGACCGGGCAAGUCCAAGGGCACCGAGGCACCUGCCACCACUGCGCCCAGCACUCCCGAAGCCAGAGGGCAGAUUGAGGUUCAGAGAAGUCAGAAGCCUUCCCAAGGCUGCACAGCCAGAAGUGGGCACAGCGUCCUGGGGUGAGGGCUCACACCAUCUGCGCCACCUGCCCUCCAGGUCCCACCAUCCUCACAAAUUCAAGGCAAGGUUCUGGAACCCCCAGCCCUCCAGAAAGGGGAAGCUGAGCCCAGGAAGCACAUCUGAGAGUUCGGCCACCGGCACGGCCACCCCAGUGUGAUUCCUCAGCAGCCACACAGAAGACAGAUGGUCCAUAGGAGACUCAGAAACAGAGAAGCCUCACGCCAGGUCCACAGAGGCACCCACGCCCGCCAAAAGGAUGCCACGCACUCACCCUGCCCUCUGGGGAGCACAGUGGGAGUCCAGGACACCGCCUUGGAUGGGGUGAGGCUCCGUCUGUGACCUCAGAAAGUCAGUCUGGGGCUGGACUUGACAUGGGAAACAGAAUAAAACUGCCUGUCCACCUGAGCUUGCCGCCCUAAAAAUCCCUGACAUGAUACAGAAGUCAGUGCUGACAGAGGGCCUGCUACCCCCAGUGACCCUGCCGGUGGGGUCUCAACCCACCCACUUCUUCUGGAGCAGCCGGUCACAGCUGUGGUCCUGCUGGCGCACACGGGUAUGAGACCCUAAAACACACAGCGACUGCACAGUGCAACCCUGCAUAUCCCAUUUGGGUACAAGUUUCAUUACAGGAAGAAACACGGGGAGGGACCCCAGAGCAGCUCACGCGUGGGUACCCUCCGCUGUGUUAGCGUCCCGGCCCUCACACGGCACCCAGGCCUCGUUGGGGCAAGGCCUUGUGCAGACACGGUGGGAUCUGCAUGUGCACUGGGGCCUGUGCCUGGGCUGCUGCUCCCCGGCCACCGGUGUCAGGAUCUCCAGGACCCCCAUGAGUGGUCAGUGGAGCAGAGAUGGCACAGACGCCAGCGACCUGGGUCAUUCUCUACCUGGGAUGUGGGACCCCAGAGACCAUGCUGUGGGUCUUUAUCUGCCUCUUCAUGCAGGAGCAGGUGCGACCCCCGCCUGCCCCAGCCAUGAGGCUCUGUCACAGGGGACCUCUGUGGCACCCUGUGCUGCAGGCAAGGCCUUAGGACAGAUGCCACGCCACUGUCCAGGAGACUGUCUCCUGAGACUGACCUCCCCUUGCACUGGGCAAUGUCUGCUGAAGAUAAGGACGUCUUCACUGGGCCAGGCCUGGAGUUCUCCCAGAUCGUGAGCUUUCCUCUCUCUGAUGAAGAGGAUACCUGUGGUCAAACUCCUACAGAGCACUGGGGACAGGAAGGCAGGCAGAGUCCCACCUGGGCAGGUGGUAGGAGUGGAAGGAGCAGGCAGGCAGCAGGGCUGCCCAGGGCUAGGAGUCUGGCUGUGAGCAGGGCCCACCCUCCCCUGGACACAAUGGAGGACCCCGUGUGUGGUUUUCACUGACUGAGCACCUAUCUCGUGCCAGACAUGUGGGAUUGCCGGUGAAUUAACAAAAGCCCUGCUCUCAGGGGGCUCCCAUCCCAGCACAUACACCGUCACAUCUGGGGUCCAGCCUGGACCCCCCCAUGCAGUUGGAGAGGGUCUCAGAACCAGGUCUGAGAACAGCAACUUCCAGCCACGGCACCCCACCCCUCCCCAGCUGGCCUGGGCUCCAGCUCCUCGCACCUGAGGCUGCCUGUGCAGGGCCCCCGGCUGGUGCCCCUCUCCUCUGAAGCUCGGGGGUCGCCACAGCCUGGCACCCUCAUCGGGCCUGUUACGCACGUUCUGGUCUCUCCGUGCCCACAGACCCGCCAAGCUCACCAGCCAAUGUGCAGCCAGCACAAGCCCGACCUGCUAGGGGCCUCAGAACAAGCGGUGUGGCCCGAGGCCGUCACACAGCACCUGUGCUGAGAGUGAGCUGACGUGGACGGCGGCACCGUGGCCGUGGCAGAGGCACCAUCCCUCCACCCUCACUCAUGUAGGGAUGUGGGGCACACGGACUGGAGCCCAAGGCCUUCGUGCUGGGCCCUGGCUCUGCACUCGGCUCCCAGAGUCUCCCACCCAAUGUCAGAGAGGGUGCCGCAACAGUGCUUCGGGGGCUCCUGUCAUGAGGGCUGAGGACCACCUAGGCCCACGUCCGCCCAGCAGGUGGCAGCUGCAUCCCCGGUCCCCUCCACAACCCGGGCCAGGUCCAGGCUGCAGGCCGCAGUGUUGGCAGGGGGAGGAGAGGGUGAAAUUGGCUGAGCCCAUCCAUUGGGACAGACCCUCCCGCUCCUUGGGGCUCUGGAGAACUCUAUUCCUUCUCUUUGCUUAACCUCAAGGUGCUGGGGCCUCUGGCUGCUGCAGCAUUUACAGAGGAAUUGUCUGGGAUGUGCCGGGCCGAGCACUGUAGCUCUCGCCGGUGUCUGCGUCAGCACGCUAGUGACAUGGCAGGUUCAGGUCGGUGGACAGACUGGACUUGGAAACACCUUCUUGCGUCCUCGAAACGACGUGGCACGCAGCCAGCUCACAGCACCCAAAGGCACGGGCAAGUUGCAUCACGGCAGCCCCUCCUGUCUGACCAGGAGCAGGUGCGUUCCUGAGGUCCUGGCCACUUCUGCAGGAGCGUCCGAGGGAGCCCAGCUGAUAUACCACAGCCCCUGACCUCCCAGGUUAGCCUUUCCAUCCAACAGCACCAGG
rnacentral:lncRNA from 1 species